rnacentral:rRNA from 1 species
UGGGGAAUUUUGGACAAUGGGCGAAAGCCUGAUCCAGCAAUGCCGCGUGUGUGAAGAAGGCCUUCGGGUUGUAAAGCACUUUUGUCCGGAAAGAAAUCCUUGGCUCUAAUACAGUCGGGGGAUGACGGUACCGGAAGAAUAAGCACCGGCUAACUACGUGCCAGCAGCCGCGGUAAUACGUAGGGUGCAAGCGUUAAUCGGAAUUACUGGGCGUAAAGCGUGCGCAGGCGGUUUGCUAAGACCGAUGUGAAAUCCCCGGGCUCAACCUGGGAACUGCAUUGGUGACUGGCAGGCUAGAGUAUGGCAGAGGGGGGUAGAAUUCCACGUGUAGCAGUGAAAUGCGUAGAGAUGUGGAGGAAUACCGAUGGCGAAGGCAGCCCCCUGGGCCAAAUACUGACGCUCAUGCACGAAAGCGUGGGGAGCAAAACAGGAUUAGAUACCCUGGUAGUCCACGCCCUAAAACGAUGUCAACUAGUUGUUGGGGAUUCAUUUCCUUAGUAACGUAGCUAACGCGUGAAGUUGACCGCCUGGGGAGUACGGUCGCAAGAUUAAAAACUUAAAGGAAUUGACGGGGUCAUAGCUGUUUCCU